GAUGAACGCUGGCGGCGUGCCUAAUACAUGCAAGUCGAGCGAACGGACGAGAAGCUUGCUUCUCUGAUGUUAGCGGCGGACGGGUGAGUAACACGUGGAUAACCUACCUAUAAGACUGGGAUAACUUCGGGAAACCGGAGCUAAUACCGGAUAAUAUUUUGAACCGCAUGGUUCAAAAGUGAAAGACGGUCUUGCUGUCACUUAUAGAUGGAUCCGCGCUGCAUUAGCUAGUUGGUAAGGUAACGGCUUACCAAGGCAACGAUGCAUAGCCGACCUGAGAGGGUGAUCGGCCACACUGGAACUGAGACACGGUCCAGACUCCUACGGGAGGCAGCAGUAGGGAAUCUUCCGCAAUGGGCGAAAGCCUGACGGAGCAACGCCGCGUGAGUGAUGAAGGUCUUCGGAUCGUAAAACUCUGUUAUUAGGGAAGAACAUAUGUGUAAGUAACUGUGCACAUCUUAACGGUACCUAAUCAGAAAGCCACGGCUAACCACGUG
rnacentral:rRNA from 1 species